rnacentral:rRNA from 1 species
CCUACGGGUGGCUGCAGUGGGGAAUAUUGGACAAUGGGGGCAACCCUGAUCCAGCCAUGCCGCGUGUGUGAAGAAGGCCCUCGGGUUGUAAAGCACUUUCAGUGAGGAAGAACGCCUGGUGGUUAAUACCCAUCAGGAAAGACAUCACUCACAGAAGAAGCACCGGCUAACUCCGUGCCAGCAGCCGCGGUAAUACGGAGGGUGCGAGCGUUAAUCGGAAUUACUGGGCGUAAAGCGCGCGUAGGUGGCUUGAUAAGCCGGUUGUGAAAGCCCCGGGCUCAACCUGGGAACGGCAUCCGGAACUGUCAAGCUAGAGUGCAGGAGAGGAAGGUAGAAUUCCCGGUGUAGCGGUGAAAUGCGUAGAGAUCGGGAGGAAUACCAGUGGCGAAGGCGGCCUUCUGGACUGACUCUGACACUGAGGUGCGAAAGCGUGGGUAGCAAACAGGAUUAGAUACCCUGGUAGUC